GAGCACGCGGGUAGUUAGGAUGUCAUAGAGUAUGAGAUUCAAUAGUGUAGUCUAACGAUACUAAGGUUUGCAGGCUUGUGUCGUGAUUGGAGACGUAGACUUGUUCUCCAAUGUAGAGUUCGAGUAAUUGGAAUCCAGUGAAAGUUCGAGUCAGGAGUCUAAUGCAGCCAAGAUGAUGUUUCUUUGGCUGCAGGUACUUUGGUAUAGUUGAUGGGUCGGUAGCAGUGUGCUUGGGAUAUUAUGAUUGAAGCUCACCGCGACGGUUGUAAUUGUCGGACCACGAGUUGUCCACUAUUUUAUAGGUUUGGUAUGGCUUGUGACGUUUGUGUCACUUAUUCUUUGUUAAGCCAUUAUUGUUAUGUAAAUAUUGUGUUAAUAAGACUCAAACAGAUAUAUGUUAAAUGGCUCAAUGUUGUAAUUAAUGUGUGAUAGAUGUAUAAGUUGUAAUUUCCGCUA